rnacentral:rRNA from 1 species
GAUGAACACGGUUUAUAGCAAAUAGUGUAGUAUAAUACGCAUAUAAUAUCAAGUAAUAUUAUCAAUUUAACAUCAUUACAAUCUAUAAUAACCUAUAAAUACUGUUUAAUAGUAUAAUUGUGUACUAAAAACAAUAUGUUUACCAUUUAAUUUAUGUAUUAUAUACUUCAAUUAUUAAUAUAUGUAUUGUAAAAUUUCAUCACGAGUUUGAUGUUAAGUAUAUAAAGAAACUAUUAUGGAUAAAUAGCUAUAUAUCAUUAGGAAUAUGAUAGUAAACACGCUACAACGUGAAACAACGUUGUGUAAAAACAACGUUGGAUAACUUAAACGUGUAGUCCAGGUAAAAGCCAAUGUUUAAACGAAGUGAACUGAAAUAUCUUAUUAGCUUCAGGAAAAUAAAUCAAAUGAGAUUGUUUUAUCAAAAUAAUAUGAUAAAAUAUGAGUCUUUAAAGUAAAAUGGAUAUAAUCUGUUUGAAUAUAGGGAAACCUUUCUCUAAGACUAAAUAUGAUAUAUUACGCGACAGUUUAGUAGUACCGUAAGGGAAUUGUUUGAAAUAGUAGUUUUAUAAGCAGCUCAAGUUUAGUUUAAAAAAUAAAUUAGAGCGUACCUUUUGCAUAAUGGGUCAGCAAGUUAAUAUUAGAUGCGAGAUGAAUAAUCCCAGAUAAACCAAUUAUUAAAUAAUGAACAAGUAUCUAGUAUUAGACCCGAAGCCUAGUGAUCUUACCAUGAUCAGGGUUAUAAAAGCUCGAACAGGUUAUCGUUGUAAAGAUAUCUGAUGAAUUGUGGUAAGUUAGUGAAAGACAAAACUGACUAGGAUAGCUGGUUUUCCGCGAAACCUAUAUAAGUAGGUAGUUUAAAAUUUUUACUUGAAAAAGUAAUAACAUCAUUGCAGGUACAGAAUUGUGAUCUCAGACAAAUUUAGAUUAUCGCAUUUUUUAUAAAAAGCGUAAUCUGUUUGUAUACAUUGGGGGAUCGUGAAGAUUUUAUCAGUGAGGAUUUGCUCUCGGAAGGGCAAUGAUGAAUAUUAAAUUGUCGGACAUAGUACGAUAAGGUUGUAUGUCUAAAGGGAAACAGCCCAGAACAAGAGUUAAAGGUUCCAAAAUUAUUGUUAAGUGAAAUUAAGGGAGUUUUUUUCAAAUACAACCAGGAAAUAGGCUUAGAAGCGGCCAUUUUUUAAAGAUCUCGUAACAGAGCACUGUUUUAUAAAAAAAUAAAGUUAAACGCACCGAAAAUUUAACGGAUCUAAACAAUAUACCGAAACCUUGUACGUAAAUAAAUAUUAAUUUUUAUUUAUGGGGUAGCGGAACGUUGGGUUGACUCUUAGAAUUUAUAUCAUUGAUAUGAGUUAGGUUUAAUAUUUUUCACUUUUGUGUUUAUAUUUAUAUAGAUAUAAAUGUGCGAGAUAUUUAAAAACAAGAUAAUCCCAAGUGAUAAUGCUGACAUGAGUAACGAAAAAGGGUAGACCCCUCGCCUUAAGCUUAUGGUAUUUCGUUUAAAGUAACGGCCCCUAAGUUUAUUGAUCUGACCUAAAGGAUUAAAUGAUGGGAAAAUCUUUAUAUAUACCUAAACAUUUAUAUAAUAUGGCCUUAGAUAAGCAGAAUGUUAUAAAGGUUUAAGGAGUAUUAUUACACAGUUGUAUCCUAAAGUAGUAAAUGUUCUGGAAAAAGUAUAUAAUAAUAUAACCGUACCUAAAUACUACCACAAGUAAGCAAGUAGAGUAUACAAAGGCGUUUGAGAUAACAAUCAUUAAGGAACUCGGCAAAAUGACACCGUAACUUCGGGAUAAGGUGUGCCAUUAUUCAUUUUUUAAAAUAAAUCAUUUUUAUAUUAUUAGAAAAACAAACAACAGCUUUUUUUAAUAAGAAAAAAAGUGAUUAAAUAAAAAAUACAGCAAUAAGAGGAGACAUAAAAUGGUGUUGUACGACUGUUUAAUUAAAACAAAGCACUUUGCAUAAGAUUUUAAAUCAAAGUAUUGAGUGUGAUUUCUGCCCGAUGUUGGCUGGUUAACGGAUUUUCUUAGUAAAAUAAAAAAGCUAGGUUUUGAAGGAACCCCCAAUCAAUGGCGGCCUUACCGAUGAGGGUCCUAAGGUAGCGGAAUACCUUGGCCGUUAAAUGCGGUCUUUGCAUGAAUGAUUUAACGAUACAACAGCUGUCUCAAUGAUUGUCUCAGUGAAAUUGGAAUAACUGUGCAGAUACAGUUUUCUUCUAGUUAGACGAGAAGACCCUAUGCAGCUUUACUGUUGCUAGUAAUUGAAUAUAAUAAAACAAGUUGUAGUAUAUAAGGUUAUUGAUAAGAUAAUAGUGAAAUACCUUUACUUAGUUUAUUAUAUUAUUGGGGGUUAUAAUAUGUGUUAAAGUCAAGAGUUAAAGCGUUUGCAGCAACCGCUACAUAGUAGUUAAUAAUGGUGGUUAAUCAAUAUGUUAGCAUAUAUUAUAAGUAGGGGAGCCUUAAAUUGGGAUAUCCGGAAACGGGCCGCAACCGAGAGUUGUCGAGGCCCCAGUACCGGUAUAUGCGGAUAAUAUUAGGAAACGGGCCGCAACCGAGAACCGGGAAUCGAGAGUUGUCGAGGCCCCAGUACUCGUCCCCCACGAAGCUCUAAGAUGGGGGUAAUAUUAGUAAGAUAUACAGAAAUGUGCCGAAACCGAGAGUUGUCGAGGCACAGUACUGGUAUCUCUCGAGGCUGUAUAAUAUAUAUACAUCAGAAAAACUUGUCACUUAUUAUAAUUACCCAAACGCUUAUCCAAAAGAAAAAUGACGGUGUAUUUCCCCUUAUUACCUAGUAAGAGAGACACAAGCACACAUUAAGGAGAAAUUUGCUAGUGGACAGUUUAUGCGGGGCACAGAUCCCACAAAAAGUACCUGGGUGUAUCCAAAGUUAAAACUGUAAAUUUAUCAAGUUUAAUUGGUAAUCUUGUACUAAUAUUAUGCUCGUAGUAUGUUUAUCGAAAUUAAUUAGUAUUAGUACAUUACGUUUAUUUACUUUGUAAUGGAUUAUUUUUAAUUUAUUCACUUAUAAUUCUAUUAAGUUAGAUUAAUUUUAUUUU